rfam:Lepisosteus oculatus linkage group LG12, whole genome shotgun sequence.
GCCAGCAGCCAUAUCACUCUGCAAUUUACAACUGGAAUCCCACUGAAGCUAAACAGGUGUGAGCCUGGUCAGUACCUGGACAGGAGACCUCCUGGGAAAAACUAAGGUUGCUGCUGGAA